CCUACGGGGCGCAGCAGUGAGGAAUAUUGGUCAAUGGGCGGAAGCCUGAACCAGCCAAGUCGCGUGAGGGAAUAAGGCCCUACGGGUCGUAAACCUCUUUUGCCGGGGAGCAAGGGCGGGGACGUGUCCCGGCCCGGAGAGUACCCGGAGAAAAAGCAUCGGCUAACUCCGUGCCAGCAGCCGCGGUAAUACGGAGGAUGCGAGCGUUAUCCGGAUUUAUUGGGUUUAAAGGGUGCGCAGGCGGUCUGUUAAGUCAGCGGUCAAAGCCCGGGGCUCAACCCCGGCCCGCCGUUGAAACUGGCAGU
rnacentral:rRNA from 1 species